GGAAGAGUGUCCGAGUGGUUUAAGGAGACAGUCUUGAAAACUGGUGAUGUCGAAAGGCACCGUGGGUUCGAAUCCUACCUCUUCCGCCA
rnacentral:tRNA from 1 species